UACGUAGGGUGCGAGCGUUAAUCGGAAUUACUGGGCGUAAAGCGUGCGCAGGCGGGCUUUUAAGCCAGACGUGAAAUCCCCGGGCUUAACCUGGGAAUGGCGUUUGGGACUGGGAGUCUGGAGUGCGGCAGAGGAGACUGGAAUUCCUGGUGUAGCAGUGAAAUGCGUAGAUAUCAUGAGGAAGACCAGUGGCGAAGGCGGGUCUCUGGACAGUUCCUGACACUGAGACACGAAGGCCAGGGGAGCAAACGGG
rnacentral:rRNA from 1 species